GCAGUAGUUUACUGGGCACGGAUUCAGAGCUUAUGGAGAUUUUCUAGAACGUAACUACCACCUGCAAUGAGAGUCAACAGUAGCACCUUCCUCAGAAGGUUGUUGUAAGGACUGGGUGAGUUGUAAAUCUCAAGCAUGUAGGACCGAGCUUCAUACACCAGCUCAUCUCUCUAGACCCACUGCACAGCCAUUUCUUCCUUGAGGUCUUAACAUUCCCCUGGGGUCUUCCCUGGAAAUGAGGCCUUGGUCCCUUUUGCUCUUGGAUCCCCCAAGCCUUCUGCAGGAGGUUCUGCUCCACAUCUCCCACCGCUCAACCCCAACUAGGUCCAGGGAGCAAGGAGCAGAACCACCACUGCCUCAGGGAUUCACCAGCCCCAUCAGAGAUGCUUGCCUACUCUGGGAAGCCUUGUGCUUAAGUCACAUAUCCUGCUGUAAUUACUGUCUAUGCCUUUGGAGCUUAAGGGCUUUGGAAACUCAGAAGCCAGGAGACACAGUCUUAUUUCUCUGGUUGCUACUUUCAUUUCCUUCCCCUAAAGCAAUGAGGCUUCUUGGCUCAGCUUGAAUGUGAAAUUCCCCAGUGAAAUACUGGGCAGUGGUGGGUAGUUGGAAACUGUGCUCAAUACUUUAAAUAUGUUAUCUCACAUCUUUUGAGAGACAAGUUGCCUUCUAAAUCAAAAGUUAGGUGAGGUCUGCUCAUAUCGUCUCUCUUUAAACAGAGAGAGCAUGUGUUUCAUGAUGAUGGACUUUCCUUGUGCUGUCAGCCUCCAGGAUGUAUGUAUGUGUUUGGCAUAGAUAGGAACCUAAUCUACUUUCAUUGCUGUUUUUUCAACAUGAAGAAAAGACUUAAAAUGAUGCUCUCCUGUUCCUCCCUGGGAAUAGGGGGGUCUUAAUCUGUCCCCUUGCUGAGGGUCAGUAGCCAGCAGCAAGCACCCUGUGAGCUCUCCUGACUUGACCCUCACUGUCGAGAUUGUUCAGUCACACACCUGAAGCAGAUGGGAAUCGAAAUCAGGCAUAAUUAUAAACCCUUCCUUCUGUGUGGUCUCCUGUCACUUACCCCCUGGAGCCUGUGGUUUCCUUAGUUCAACUAGAUGAGUUGCAGAGGGAUCCUUCUGCCUCUACAAACUUUGGAUUCAUUGAUACGUUGAACUCUCAUGAGCUUCCUGGCUAACGAAGAGAAUUUCUAUUAUAAUUAUUAACCAGCAGCCUCAUCUUGAUACCCUUAACUAAGCACCAAUGAUAGACAUCCUUCAGAGCUCCUCUAUACUCUUUGAGUACUCAGCCCACAUCUAGCCCAGUUCUAACAUCAUUUAUUACAGGGUUUUGAAAGCAGCUGUUUACUUAUCUGCCUUUCCACUUGAAACUUCCUUCUGGGGAGGAGGGCAUGGGGUGCUGUGGCUUAUUUGCAUUUAUAUUCUCAAAGAUAGUAGAGUUUUUUUUUUUUACAUAUAUUUAUGGCUUUGUAGAUAUUUACUGAAAUAUGCUGUGCCUGUAGACAUAAAGCUAGACUAGGAAACCCUCCAAAUGUAGAGCUCAGUUGUCGAAGUCAAUAUCUGAUAGAAAUCCAUCAUUAUGUUCAUAUAUUUAUAUUCAUAACCUAAAGCCAUCAUCCAAUUGCACAGUGGCGGAUUUAUUUCAUGUAUCAGUUCUUUCAGAUGGGCAGGGCUUUUCUUCUUUACAUUUCCUCUGCUCAGUGGAAUAAGUUGAAAGGAAAGAGGCAUAUGUGAUAGGAGAACUAAGUGCUAAUAUGACAACCCUUGGUCUACUUAUAAAUCAUGGUUUUGCAAAAGGAAUGUGUAAGUUUUUCAUAGUGUUAAUUAAGCUGGGGUCUGUUUAGCCCUGGGGGAUAUUGGGCAAUGUCAGGAGAUGCUUGCGGUUGUCAAAACCAGAGGAGAGGUUGUUACCAACAUCUAGUGGAGAGAGGCCAGAUGUGUCACUGAAUAUCCUGCAAUGCACAGAGUGAUCUCCAACAAAGAAUCACUCAGCCCUGAAUGUCAGCCUGGCUGAGACUGAGAAACACUGGUUUAGACAGACCCUCAGAUCAUGUUGGACUUUGAGUACAUUCUUUUCGGUUGAGUGCUGGGCUCAGCACAUGACCUCUGACAUCCUUAGCGUCUCCACGAUUGACUAGUGUCACUGUUUAAUGGUGAUCUGGAGACACCACACGUCCCAGAACUGCCCUCUGAAUCAGCACCAGUGUGACCACCUUCAGGGCUCCCCUUCCUCUCAGAGGCUACCAGGGCACCUGCCAUCCAAAAAGGUCACCGUAGGUGCCAUUUUUCUGUUUAUAUAUGUGCCCAUCACCCACAACUAGACCACAUAUUUCUUCUUUUUUUCUUUUUUGUCUUUUGUCCUUUUUUAGGGCUGCAUCUGCGGUAUAUGGAAGUUCCCACACUAGGGGUCUAAUAGGAGCUAUAGCCGCGGGGCUACGUCAUAGCCACAGCAACAUGGAAUCCAAGCCGGGUCUUCGACCUACACCACAGCUCAUGGCAGCACUGGAUCCUUAACCCACUGAGCCAAGGCCAGGGAUCGAACCUGCAUCCUUGUGGUUCCUAGUCGGAUUUGUUUCCACUGCGCCAUGACGGGAACUCCCUAUUUCUUUCUUUCUUUUUCUUUUUUAAGUUUUAUUGAAGUAUAGUUAAUUUACAAGGUUGUGAUCAUUUCUACUGUACAACAAAGUGACCCAGUCAUACAUACACAUCCAUUCUCUCUCGGAUUCUUUUCCCACAUAGUUUAUCACAGAAUACUAGGCAGAGUUCUCUGUGCUCUACAGCAGGUUCCUGUGCUAGACCACAUAUUUCUUCCUGGCAGAGAACAUGUGUUCUGUCAUUGCACCCUGUUGCCAUUAUUUCCCAUAAUUCCUCUUUAAAAUGCUUUGGCACUCAGGGCAUGAUGAUGAUGCUCUGUCUUUGGAGUUGAAUGCUUAGACAGUUGUUCGUCUGUAAAUACCCUCGAUGGUAAAUUGCAUCUAGCCACAAUGUGAAGUGACCAGAAUCAUCCAUUCUCCCACCAUUCUGGAUAAACUGGCAUUCAGAUUUGUGUUCCUGGGGUCAGGGUUUAUUAAGUUUAAGUGUUUAGGGUUAGCGACAGCUAAUUCUUGGAGUUCCUGUUGUGGCUCAGUGGUAACAAACCCAACUAGUAUCCAUGAGCUGUGGUGUAGGUUACAGAUGCAGCUUGGAUCCCACGUUGCUGUGGUUGUGGCAUAGGCUGGCAGCUGCAGCUCUGAUUCGACCCCUAGCCUGGGAACCUCCAUAUGCAGCAGAUGUGGCCCUAAAAUAAAAAAAUAAAUAAAUAAAUAGAGAGAGAGAGAUAGCAAAUUAUUAAGAUCUGUUUUCUUCCUUGAUUCCCUGAUUUGUGAGGAUGUCAUCUUUACCUGGGAAAUAAAAUGGAGCCUUCACUCACUCAAGAAAUAAAAAC
rnacentral:lncRNA from 1 species